rnacentral:rRNA from 1 species
GAGUUUGAUCCUGGCUCAGGAUGAACGCUGGCGGCGUGCUUAACACAUGCAAGUCGAACGGGGGUGCCAUGAACGAAGCAUCAGUUUACUGAUAUGGAGGGAAUGGGACCCUAGUGGCGGACGGGUGAGUAACGCGUGGGUAACCUGCCCCAUACCGGGGGAUAACACUUAGAAAUAGGUGCUAAUACCGCAUAAGCGCACGGUACUGCAUGGUACAGUGUGAAAAACUCCGGUGGUAUGGGAUGGACCCGCGUCUGAUUAGCUUGUUGGCGGGGUAACGGCCCACCAAGGCGACGAUCAGUAGCCGGCCUGAGAGGGUGGACGGCCACAUUGGGACUGAGACACGGCCCAAACUCCUACGGGAGGCAGCAGUGGGGAAUAUAGCACAAUGGGGGAAACCCUGAUGCAGCGACGCCGCGUGAAAGGAGAAGUAUUUCGGUAUGUAAAGCUCGUCAGCAGGGAAGAAAA